rnacentral:rRNA from 1 species
CAGUCGCCACGGUAACACCGAGGGUGCGAGCGUUAAUCGGAUUUACUGGGCGUAAAGCGUGCGUAGGCGGCUUCUUAAGUCGGAUGUGAAAUCCCUGAGCUUAACUUAGGAAUUGCAUUCGAUACUGGGAAGCUAGAGUAUGGGAGAGGAUGGUAGAAUUCCAGGUGUAGCGGUGAAAUGCGUAGAGAUCUGGAGGAAUACCGAUGGCGAAGGCAGCCAUCUGGCCUAAUACUGACGCUGAGGUACGAAAGCAUGGGGAGCAAACAGGAUUAGAUACCCCCGUAGUCCCUGUCUCUUAUAC